rnacentral:rRNA from 1 species
AUGGCGUGCUAUCCAUGCAAUCGCUACCCACACCUCCCACCUGGAACCACCAUCGUCCCGCUAGGUCCCCUCCGUGAGCAACAUGGAUACGUCGGUGGCGGCGGUGAACUCCCGAUGGCCUGUGAUGAGUGGGCCAUUGCCACUCUUGAGCCGGGCAUCGAUCCGGAGGAAUUUUAUGGACCCAAUGCCAUGAUCAUCAACUACUUGGAGAACAGAGGAUGGAGGAUCAGCUACACCCCCAGAUGUGGUAUGGGAUUUGUACUUGUUCAGUUCACCACAGCAUGCUCUCGUGAUACUGCGGUCAGUCAUAGCCCCUUUCAGAUUGGUGAUACUAUGCUUAGAAUCUCUAGACAGGACCGUGGCAUUAAUUACAAAAGCAUUACCUUUACGCAUGAUGUCUGGAUGUUGUUGAUGAACUACCCAUUAGAAUGAUGGGAUGUCAAUGUUAUCAGUUGUACGUUUGCUCCAUAUGGCCUCUUUCUAAUUUGGAACAAAGAUCCUAGAGAUAAGACUAGAAUCAUAGUCAAAGUCGGAGUUAUGAAUGCUGAUACGCAUCCACUUAGUAUUGUUGUACUUCGCAACCUUGAUGAUGUGGGUUUUCGAGACUCCUAGACCUGCCCAGCAUAUAUACUAUCUAGUGAGCUUAUUGGGCAAUAGGGAGGUGAUGAAGAUCCACUGCCCCCCAAUGGUGGAAACCCACAUCCUCUGCCCCAUGUACAUGCAGGUUUCUGGCAUGAUGAAGUACUUGGCCAUAUUCUAGUAGAGCAAGUUGUGAUGAACCCACAUAAUGAGGGCCUAGGGGCACCUUAUGAAGAUGUCCAUAUUAGGGUUGAGCAAAUCAACAACAAUGUUGCGGUAGGGAUGGAAGCACAUCAAGCUGCAAACACCCCAAAUGAUGCACCAGCAGCCAUGCAAGACCCUGAUCAUGUUGAUGGAACUAAAGUGAAUAGUGUGGAUCCUGUAGCUCAUAACACACCUGUGUUAUCAAACAACAAUGAUGUUCAGCACCAAGUGACUGACAAUUUCAUCCCUGUGGAAAGCCUUGUUUUCUCUCCCAAUAACAUCAACAUGAAUUACAAUGACCAAAGUGUAGCAAAGCAGGUUCCCAACAAUCUAGCUCAUGAGGGAUCAUCAGAGGGGGUUUAUGAGGACAUAUCUGCUCUAUAG